GUAGGUGGCAAGCGUUGUCCGGGAAUUAUUGGGCGUAAAGCGCGCGCAGGCGGUUCUUUAAGUCUGAUGUGAAAGCCCACGGGCUCAACCGUGGAGGGUCAUUGGAAACUGGAGAACUUGAGUACAGAAGAGGAAAGCGGAAUUCCACGUGUAGCGGUGAAAUGCGUAGAGAUGUGGAGGAACACCAGUGACGAAGGCGGCUUUCUGGUCUGUAACUGACGCUGAGGCGCGAAAGCGUGGGGAGCAAACAGGAUUAGAUACCCUGGUAGUCCACGCCGUAAACGAUGAGUGCUAAGUGUUAGGGGGUUUCCGCCCCUUAGUGCUGCAGCUAACGCAUUAAGCACUCCGCCUGGGGAGUACGGCCGCAAAGGCUG
rnacentral:rRNA from 1 species